UGCCAGCAGCCGCGGUAAUACAGAGGGUGCAAACGUUGUUCGGAAUCACUGGGCAUAAAGCGCACGUAGGCGGUCUGUCAAGUGCGAAGUGAAAGCCCACGGCUCACCCGUGGAACUGCUUUGCAUACUGGCAGACUCGAGGACGGUAGGGGAGAGCGGAACUCUUGGAGGAGCGGUGAAAUGCGUAGAUAUCAAGAGGAACACCAAAGGCGAAGGCAGCUCUCUGGUCCGUUUCUGACGCUGAGGUGCGAAAGCCAGGGUAGCGAACGGGAUUAGAUA
rnacentral:rRNA from 1 species